rnacentral:rRNA from 1 species
AGAACGAACGCUGGCGGCAUGCCUAAUACAUGCAAGUCGAACGAAGGCUUCGGCCUUAGUGGCGCACGGGUGCGUAACGCGUGGGAAUCUGCCCCUUGGUUCGGAAUAACAGUUGGAAACGACUGCUAAUACCGGAUGAUGACGAAAGUCCAAAGAUUUAUCGCCAAGGGAUGAGCCCGCGUAGGAUUAGCUAGUUGGUGAGGUAAAGGCUCACCUAGGCGACGAUCCUUAGCUGGUCUGAGAGGAUGAUCAGCCACACUGGGACUGAGGCACGGCCCAGACUCCUACGGGAGGCAGCAGUAGGGAAUAUUGGACAAUGGGCGAAAGCCUGAUCCAGCAAUGCCGCGUGAGUGAUGAAGGCCUUAGGUUGUAAAGCUCUUUUACCCGAGAUGAUAAUGACAGUAUCGGGAGAAUAAGCCCCGGCUAACUCCGCGCCAAGCAGCCGC